GCCAGACUCCUACGGGAGGCAGCAGUGGGGGAUAUUGCACAAUGGGGGAAACCCUGAUGCAGCGACGCCGCGUGGGUGAAGAAGCGCCUCGGCGCGUAAAGCCCUGUCAGCAGGGAAGAAAAUGACGGUACCUGAAGAAGAAGCCCCGGCUAACUACGUGCCAGCAGCCGCGGUAAUACGUAGGGGGCAAGCGUUAUCCGGAUUUACUAGGUGUAAAGGGAGCGUAGACGGCUGUGCAAGUCUGAAGUGAAAGCCCGUGGCUCAACCGCGGAACUGCUUUGGAAACUGUAUAGCUUGAGUACUGGAGAGGCAGGCGGAAUUCCUAGUGUAGCGGUGAAAUGCGUAGAUAUUAGGGGGAACACCAGUGGCGAAGGCGGCCUGCUGGACAGAAACUGACGUUGAGGCUCGAAAGCGUGGGGAGCAAACAGGAUUAGAUACCCUGGUAU
rnacentral:rRNA from 1 species